rnacentral:miRNA from 1 species
AGCAGAAGCCAUCACUAGCGC